rnacentral:rRNA from 1 species
GACGAACGCUGGCGGCGUGCUUAACACAUGCAAGUCGAACGGUAAGGCCCUUCGGGGUACACGAGUGGCGAACGGGUGAGUAACACGUGGGUGAUCUGCCCUGCACUUCGGGAUAAGCCUGGGAAACUGGGUCUAAUACCGGAUAGCACCACUGCCUGCAGGGGUGGUGGUGGAAAGCUUUUGCGGUGUGGGAUGGGACCGCGGCCUAUCAGCUUGUUGGUGGGGGGAUGGCCUACCAAGGCGACGACGGGUAGCCGGCCUGAGAGGGUGACCGGCCACACUGGGACUGAGAUACGGCCCAGACUCCUACGGGAGGCAGCAGUGGGGAAUAUUGCACAAUGGGCGCAAGCCUGAUGCAGCGACGCCGCGUGAGGGAUGACGGCCUUCGGGUUGUAAACCUCUUUCAGCACCGACGAAGCGCAAGUGACGGUAGGUGCAGAAGAAGGACCGGCCAACUACGUGCCAGCCGCCGCAGUAA